UACAGAGAGUGCAAACGUUGUUCGGAAUUACUGGGCUUAAAGCGCACGUAGGCGGCAUCGCAAGUGUGGGGUGAAAUCCCACGGCUUACCCGUGGAACUGCCUGGCAGACUGCGGUGCUAGAGUGUGGUAGGGGAGAGCGGAACUCCUGGUGGAGCGGUGAAAUGCGUAGAUAUCAGGAGGAACACCGGUGGCGAAGGCGGCUCUCUGGUCCACAACUGACGCUGAGGUGCGAAAGCUAGGGGAGCAAACGGG
rnacentral:rRNA from 1 species